UGCGUAGGCGGUUAAUUAAGUUGGAUGUGAAAUUCCCGGGCUUAACUUGGGAGCUGCAUUCAAAACUGGUUAACUAGAGUUCAGGAGAGGGAAGCGGAAUUCCUAGUGUAGCGGUGAAAUGCGUAGAUAUUAGGAGGAACACCGGUGGCGAAGGCGGCUUUCUGGACUGACACUGACGCUGAGGCACGAAAGCGUGGGGAGCAAACAA
rnacentral:rRNA from 1 species